rnacentral:rRNA from 1 species
UACAGAGGGGGCGAGCGUUGUUCGGAAUUACUGGGCGUAAAGGGCGCGUAGGCGGCCCGCUAAGUCGAACGUGAAAUCCCCGGGCUCAACCCGGGAACUGCGUCCGAUACUGGCAGGCUUGAAUCCGGGAGAGGGAUGUGGAAUUCCAGGUGUAGCGGUGAAAUGCGUAGAUAUCUGGAGGAACACCGGUGGCGAAGGCGGCGUCCUGGACCAAUACUGACACUGAGUGAGCGAAAGCCAGGGGAGCAAACGGG